rnacentral:rRNA from 1 species
GAGUGAACGCUGGCGGUAGGCCUAACACAAGCAAGUCGAACGGCAGCACAGUAAGAGCUUGCUCUUACGGGUGGCGAGUGGCGGACGGGUGAGGAAUACAUCGGAAUCUACUUUUUCGUGGGGGAUAACGUAGGGAAACUUACGCUAAUACCGCAUACGACCUACGGGUGAAAGCAGGGGAUCUUCGGACCUUGCGCGAUUGAAUGAGCCGAUGUCGGAUUAGCUAGUUGGCGGGGUAAAGGCCCACCAAGGCGACGAUCCGUAGCUGGUCUGAGAGGAUGAUCAGCCACACUGGAACUGAGACACGGUCCAGACUCCUACGGGAGGCAGCAGUGGGGAAUAUUGGACAAUGGGCGCAAGCCUGAUCCAGCCAUACCGCGUGGGUGAAGAAGGCCUUCGGGUUGUAAAGCCCUUUUGUUGGGAAAGAAAAGCAGCAGGUUAAUACCCCGCUGUUCUGACGGUACCCAAAGAAUAAGCACCGGCUAACUUCGUG